AAGGAAAGGUGAAAAGCACUUCGAACAGAAGAGUGAAAUAGUUCCUGAAACCAUGUGCCUACAAGCGGUCGGAGCACCUUCUGGUGUGACGGCGUGCCUUUUGCAUAAUGAACCUACGAGUUACUUUUUCCGGCGAGGUUAAGGAUUUCAGAUCUGCAGCCGAAGCGAAAGCGAGUCUGAACAGGGCGUAUAGUCGGAAGGAGUAGACGCGAAACCAAGUGAUCUACCCUUGGGCAGGUUGAAGGAUGGGUAACACCAUCUGGAGGACCGAACCAAUAAGCGUUGAAAAGCUUCUGGAUGACCUGAGGGUGGGGGUGAAAGGCUAAUCAAACUUGGAGAUAGCUCGUACUCCCCGAAAUGCAUUUAGGUGCAGCCUUGUGAGUUACUAAUGUGAGGUAGAGCGACUGAUAAGAUGCGAGGGCUUCACCGCCUAUCAAGUCUUGACAAACUCCGAAUGCGUGUCAGUUCUAUGUCAGGAGUGAGGGCAUGGGUGCUAAGGUCCAUGUCCUAAAGGAGAACAAUCCGGACCAACAGCUAAGGUCCCGAAAUGAAUACUAAGUUGAACUAACGAAGUCAGAUUGCUAAGACAGCUAGGAUGUUGGCUUGGAAGCAGCCAUUCAUUUAAAGAGUGCGUAACAGCUCACUAGUCGAGGAGUUUGGCGUGGAUAAUAAUCGGGCAUAAGUAUUCUACCGAAGCUUUGGGAUGAGAAAUCAUCGGUAGGGGAGCAUUCCACUCGGCGUCGAAGGUGAAGCGCGAGCUUUGCUGGAGCGUGUGGAAAAGCAAAUGUAGGUAUAAGUAACGAUAAAGGGGGUGGGAAACCCCCUCGCCGAAAGACUAAGGUUUCCUGAUCAACGCUAAUCGGAUCAGGGUAAGUCGGGUCCUAAGGCUCAGCCGAACGGCGAGGCCGAUGGCAGAACCGGUUAAUAUUCCGGUACUACCUGUGGGAGUGACGUGGAGACGGAGUCGUGACAGCGCCGCGGACUGACGGAAUAGUCCGUUGAAGGGUGUAGAUGCUGAUUGUUCCAGGCAAAUCCGGAGCAAGAGUCGAACCUGACAGUAUGGAGCGUUCUUAGAACAAUCCAAUAGUGCGUGUAAUCAUACUUCCAAGAAAAUCCGCUAAACUUAAUCCUGCAGGUACCCGUACCGCAAACGGACACACGUAGUCGGGUUGAAUAUACUAAGGCGCUUGAGUGAUUCACGGUUAAGGAACUAGGCAAAUUGACCCUGUAACUUCGGGAUAAAGGGUCCCAACGAGAGUUGGGCGCAGAGAAUAGGUCCAGGCAACUGUUUAACAAAAACACAGGGCUGUGCAAAAUUGAAAGAUUACGUAUACAGCCUGACACCUGCCCGGUGCUGGAAGGUUAAGAGGAGAUGUCAUCGCAAGAGAAGCAUUGAAUUGAAGCCCCAGUAAACGGCGGCCGUAACUAUAACGGUCCUAAGGUAGCGAAAUUCCUUGUCGGGUAAGUUCCGACCUGCACGAAUGGUGUAAUGAUCUGGACGCUGUCUCAACCGUGAGCUCAGUGAAAUUGUAGUAUCGGUGAAGAUGCCGAUUACCCGCGAUGGGACGAAAAGACCCCGUGAACCUUUACUAUAGCUUAACAUUGAAUUUGGGUAAUUGAUGUGUAGGAUAGGCCGGAGGCUUUGAAGCGGGCACGCCAGUGUCCGUGGAGCCGCUGUUGAAAUACGGCCCUUUGAUUAUUUGAGUUCUAACCCGUUGUUGCGGGGACACUGUUUGGUGGGUAGUUUGACUGGGGUGGUCGCCUCCAAAAGUGUAACGGAGGCUUCUAAAGGUGCCCUCAGGACGAUUGGUAACCGUCCGCAGAGUGUAAUGGCAUAAGGGCGCUUGACUGGGAGACUUACAAGUCGAUCAGGUAGGAAACUAGAGCAUAGUGAUCCGGUGUUUCUGUAUGGAAAGGACAUCGCUCAAAGGAUAAAAGGUACUCCGGGGAUAACAGGCUGAUCCCUCCCA
rnacentral:rRNA from 1 species